CCUACGGGUGGCAGCAGUGAGGAAUAUUGGUCAAUGGACGAGAGUCUGAACCAGCCAAGUAGCGUGAAGGAUGACUGCCCUAUGGGUUGUAACCUUCUUUUAUAAAGGAGUAAAACGAGGCACGUGUGCCUUUUUGCAUGUCCUUUAUGAAUAAGGAUCGGCUAACUCCGUGCCGGCAGCCGCGGUAAUACGGAGGAUCCGAGCGUUAUCCGGAUUUAUUGGGUUUAAAGGGAGCGUAGAUGGGUUGUUAAGUCAGUUGUGAAAGUUUUCGGUUCAACCGUAAAAUUGCAAUUGAUAUGGGCAGUUAUGAGUACAGUUGAGGUAGGCGGAAUCCGUGGUGUAGCGGUGAAACGCUUAG
rnacentral:rRNA from 1 species